rfam:Planctomycetes bacterium RBG_13_62_9 RBG_13_scaffold_8440, whole genome shotgun sequence.
GGGCAGGUAGCUCAGCUGGUAGAGCAACGGACUGAAAAUCCGUGUGUCGCUGGUUCAACUCCAGUCCUGCCCA